GAGGGUGUAGCUCAGUGGUAGAGCGUGUGCUUAGCACCUACGAGGUCUUGGGUGCAAUCCCCAGUACCUCUG
rnacentral:tRNA from 1 species